rnacentral:rRNA from 1 species
GACGAACGCUGGCGGUGUGCUUAACACAUGCAAGUCGAACGGUAAGGCCCUUUCGGGGGUACACGAGUGGCGAACGGGUGAGUAACACGUGAGUAACCUGCCCUCAUCUCUGGGAUAACAGUCGGAAACGGUUGCUAAUACUGGAUAUGAGCUUGCAAGGCAUCUUGUGGGUUGGAAAGAUUUUUUUGGUUGGGGAUGGACUCGCUGCCUAUCAGCUUGUUGGUGAGGUAGUGGCUCACCAAGGCUUCGACGGGUAGCCGGCCUGAGAGGGCGACCGGCCACAUUGGGACUGAGAUACGGCCCAAACUCCUACGGGAGGCAGCAGUGGGGAAUAUUGCACAAUGGACGGAAGUCUGAUGCAGCAACGCCGCGUGCGGGAUGACGGCCUUCGGGUUGUAAACCGCUUUCAAUUGUGACGAAGCUUUUUGUGACGGUAGCAGUAGAAGAAGCACCGGCUAACUACGUG